rnacentral:tRNA from 1 species
GGAAGUGUAGCUUAGCUUGGUUAAAGCGUCAGUCUGAUAAACUGGAGACCGAGGGAUCGAAGCCCUCCACUUCCACCA